rnacentral:rRNA from 1 species
CUGAAACCGUGUGCUUACAAGUAGUCAGAGCCCGUUAAUGGGUGAUGGCGUGCCUUUUGUAGAAUGAACCGGCGAGUUACGAUUUGAUGCAAGGUUAAGCAGUAAAUGUGGAGCCGUAGCGAAAGCGAGUCUGAAUAGGGCGUUUAGUAUUUGGUCGUAGACCCGAAACCAGGUGAUCUACCCUUGGUCAGGUUGAAGUUCAGGUAACACUGAAUGGAGGACCGAACCGACUUACGUUGAAAAGUGAGCGGAUGAACUGAGGGUAGCGGAGAAAUUCCAAUCGAACCUGGAGAUAGCUGGUUCUCUCCGAAAUAGCUUUAGGGCUAGCCUCAAGUGAUGAUUAUUGGAGGUAGAGCACUGUUUGGACGAGGGGCCCCUCUCGGGUUACCGAAUUCAGACAAACUCCGAAUGCCAAUUAAUUUAACUUGGGAGUCAGAACAUGGGUGAUAAGGUCCGUGUUCGAAAGGGAAACAGCCCAGACCACCAGCUAAGGUCCCAAAAUAUAUGUUAAGUGGAAAAGGAUGUGGCGUUGCCCAGACAACUAGGAUGUUGGCUUAGAAGCAGCCAUCAUUUAAAGAGUGCGUAAUAGCUCACUAGUCGAGUGACACUGCGCCGA